GGGGGUGCACUGGUUUCGACUGGUACGGUUCGGGGCCCAGGCCGCAGGUGGAGUGCCGAUCUCCUGAUUCGGCAAAACUUUAACUGCCAACAACGACAGUUACGAUUACGCCUUAGCCGCGUAACCGCGUGGAACCGUUCCGCCGCUCUGAGGGACGGCUUCCGCGUCGCAAUCAGGGCUGGCUGCGCCGCCGCUUCCGGAGACGGCGUGGCAAGAUUUUCCGGAAUACGGACCGGCCGCGCGCCGUUUAGCCAAGCCGGUCCCGACAAUACGAUAAACGGCUAAACCUGUAGAAGCUUGUGUUUCGCGUAUCAGGACGCGGGUUCGACUCCCGCCACCUCCAAAA
rnacentral:tmRNA from 1 species